rnacentral:tRNA from 1 species
GCGCCUGUAGUCUAAUUGGAUAAAACCGCACUCUUCUAAAGUGUAUCUUAUGAGUUCGAGUCUCGUCAGGCGUA